rnacentral:lncRNA from 1 species
GCUUUUCAUCUUCAGAAUGUCUUACAAAGGUUAAACCUUUAAAAUACAUCUGUGAAAUGAAGCGUUAUAUUACUACCUUUGUUUUUUUUUCCCCUCAGUUUAAGUAGAUGUUGAAUGUUUAAAUGUCCAGAGCUGCAGAGAAGAUUGGUCAGAUUUAGAACUGAAGACUGUGAGCUUGUCCUGCACUGCCUGAACUUCUCAGAUAGCAUUGGAUGUUCUUCACUAAUUUAUAGUCCAACAUCCAAUGGACACGUCCUUCUUUUCCCCGUGCAGAUGCUGCUGUCUAAAUAGCCUUUGGGGGAAAUUUCCUUUGUGGAUGCAGACAUGGCAGUGGAAAUAGCAGGAGCCUGCUGAAGGUAAUGUUUACAUUUUUCUUCUAGAGAAGACAAAUAAAUACCCUGUAGACCUAAUAUAAAAGGUCUUGGGAUGCAUUUUUAUUACCUUUUACUGAUUUGGAUUGCUAUUUGGUACGUUAUUUUUUGAAAACAAAUGGCUUCGGAUAGUCUAGACAUGGAAAUAUUUUUCCAUCACUCUUUGAUCUGUUUUUCAGCAAUGCUGGGUUGGUUUUGGAGCAAAUGGGGAAAGCUGUUGCCAAGGAGGAAUAGGGAGAAGUACUUGAUCAGAAUUCAGACAGUGGAAACUCUCCUUCGGCCAAAGCAGUUUUUCACCAAUUUCCUCAAAGCUGCAAGGAUGUACCAGAAAGAUCCAUCACCACAACACAUAUAGUUUGGGCUGAAGUUGUUUGGCAUAUUUUGAUGGAAAUGAAGAAAAACUGUCACCCUAACCCUGGGAACUGAAUACUGAUAGGCAAACUGGGUCAUGCUACUUGCAGCUCAUCUCUAGCUGCAGCCAACAGAUGAGGCCAACUUUGGGACAGCAAAGUGCUGGAAAGCACUUCAGGCUUCAUCUCAAAGGAUUUAGAGGAAGGAGAAAAGAAAGCUCAAAAAACAAACAAUAUAAUGUCAUAUCAUCAUUUCUUGUCAUAGGAAAAAGAACACUUAUCUCUUGCUCUUGGAAAUCUUUCAUUUGGGAGAAAAGAGGAGCUAGGCUUACUAACGGCACAUCACAAACAAGAUGCAGCUGUCAUUUAAUUUUAAAAGCUUGAAAUUAUUCCCAAAUAGUGUUUAAAAUAGAUUAUUUAUAAUGAAAUGAAAGUCAUUAUUCUAUUCCUUCAAGACUGACAAAAAUUUGCAGUCCAAACCUCCCACAAGUCUACAUCAAUAAACUCACAGAGACCAAACA